GUGAUUUAAUUAUAGCCACAGAAUGUUGGGUUUUAUGUAUCCUAUCGACAAAUCUAAAGCUGUGUUUCUGAAUUUAACGUUCUCUAAGGAGGUGUUGAGAGUAUACUGGCUGCUCUUUCUUUUGGCAAAAUCUUGAUACUAGGUACAAAUGCUUCCAAUGGUAUUUUUGGACCAUUCUAUUUUUAACCCUAAUCCUUUCCUUUGCUGUGGUUAUGGCCCUGAGUCCUUAAAUUAUAGGCUCUCCUGCAGUUUCAAAAAGCUAAUUCACACUACUGUGUGCAUUAGAAAGGUGGUAUAUAUGAUAUUCCACUAAGGGAAACCCUAGGAACAUUAAACUCCUACUAGUAACUGGUCACGAGUCAGGGCUAGAACUGACACUAGUCAUUUUUCUUCACUGACAAGUUUUCAUUAUGUGGCUUUCCCAGAACAAUUUAGAAAUUGAUCUGCAACUGAUGGAAGCUGGGAUGAAUUGGGCGCAUAAGUGAACCCAAAGCAUCAGAGCAAAGUCAAAGCGAACAUCUGGCUCCAGCUUUGAGUACAAGAAAGGAAGGAAGAAAGAACAUGCUGGAAGCAGAGCAAAGAAGAGAGACUUGUGUUUCCAUGGAAUAAUCUUGGGAUCCAUGUGGAGUGCAAGAGAUUGGAACAGAAGGAGUUCUCAAAAAAUAAAAACUUCGGGCGGGUGCGGCGGCUCACGCCUGUAAUCCCAGGACUUUGGGAGGCCGAGGUGGGCGGAUCACGAGGUCAGGAGAUCGAGACCAUCCUGGCUAACAUGGUGAAACCCCGUCUCUACUAAAAAUACAAAAAAAAAAAAAAAAUAGCUGGGCGUGGUGGCAGGUGCCUGUAGUUCCAGCUACUUGGGAGGCUGAGGCAGGAGAACGGCGUGAACCUGGGAGGCGGAGCUUGCAGUGAGCCUAGAUUGCGCCACUGCACUCCAGCCUGGACGACAGAGUGAGAC